rnacentral:rRNA from 1 species
UUUCAAUGGAGAGUUUGAUCCUGGCUCAGGACGAACGCUGGCGGCGUGCCUAACACAUGCAAGUCGAACGAGGGCCCAGAGCUUGCUCUGGUGACUCGAGUGGCGAACGGGUGAGUAACACGUGACCAACCUAUCCUAGGGCGGGGGACAACCCGGAGAAAUCUGGGCUAAUACCGCAUGAUGUUGUUCCUUCGCAUGUUGGAACAAUCAAAGAGGGCCUCUGCUUGCAAGCUCUUGCCCAGGGAGGGGGUCGCGACGUAUCAGUUUGUUGGUGGGGUAAUGGCCUACCAAGACUACGACGCGUAGCGGAUCUGAGAGGAUGAUCCGUCACAUUGGGACUGAGAUACGGCCCAGACUCCUACGGGAGGCAGCAGUGGGGAAUAUUGCGCAAUGGACGAAAGUCUGACGCAGCGACGCCGCGUGUGGGAGGAAGCCUUUCGGGGUGUAAACCACUGUCAGG